ACCAGGCUGGCUCAGUCAGUAGAGCAUGCAACUCUUGAUCUCAGGGUUGUGGGUUCAAGCCCCAUGUUGGGUG
rnacentral:tRNA from 1 species